rnacentral:rRNA from 1 species
UAAGGAAUAUUGCGCAAUGGGCGAAAGCCUGACGCAGCGACGCCGCGUGGGGGGAUGAAGGUCUUCGGGUUGUAAACUGCUUUUGUACGGAACGAAAAGGCUCUUUCUAAUAAAGAGGGCCCAUGACGGUACCGUAAGAAUAAGCACCGGCUAACUACGUGCCAGCAGCCGCGGUAAUACGUAGGGUGCAAGCGUUAAUCGGAAUUACUGGGCGUAAAGCGUGCGCAGGCGGCUUUGCAAGACAGAUGUGAAAUCCCCGGGCUCAACCUGGGAACUGCAUUUGUGACUGCAAGGCUAGAGUACGGUAGAGGGGGAUGGAAUUCCGCGUGUAGCAGUGAAAUGCGUAGAUAUGCGGAGGAACUACCGAUGGCGAAGGCAAUCCCCUGGACCUGUACUGACGCUCAUGCACGAAAGCGUGGGGAGCAAACAGGAUUAGAUACCCAAGUAGUCCCUGAGCGGGCUGGCAAGGCGCAU